rnacentral:rRNA from 1 species
GGGGGAAAGCCCGGGGCAAAAACCUUUUUUAAAUACCGCAUUCUUUCCCCUGGGGAGAAAAGGGGGGAACUUUUUUUUUCCGAUUUUAAAAGCCCUAAUUGGGUUUUAGCUAAAAGGUGGGGGGUAAAGGCCCCCUCCAUGGGCCGAAUUCUGUUGGUGGGUUUUUGAGGGGGAUGUUUCAAACCAACACCCGGGGGUUUGAGAACCCCGGGCCCCGGACUCCCUUCGCGGGGGGCAGGCAUUGGGGGAAAUUUUGGGCCAAUGGGGGGAAACCCCUGAUCCCAGCCAUGCCGCGUGGUUGAAGAAAGGCCUUUUGGUUGUAAAAGCACUUUAAAGCAGUGAAGAAAGACUCCUUCGGUUAAUACCCGGAGACGAUGACAUUAGCUGCAGAAUAAGCACCGGCUAACUCUGUGGCAGCAGCCGCGGUAAUACAGAGGGUGCAAGCGUUAAUCGGAAUUACUGGGCGUAAAGCGAGCGUAGGUGGCUUGAUAAGUCAGAUGUGAAAUCCCCGGGCUUAACCUGGGAACUGCAUCUGAAACUGUUAGGCUAGAGUAGGUGAGAGGGAAGUAGAAUUUCAGGUGUAGCGGUGAAAUGCGUAGAGAUCUGAAGGAAUACCGAUGGCGAAGGCAGCUUUCCUGGCAUCAUACUGACACUGAGGCUCGAAAGCGUGGGUAGCAAACAGGAUUAGAUACCCUGGUAGUCCACGCCGUAAACGAUGUCUACUAGUCGUUGGGUCCCUUGAGGACUUAGUGACGCAGCUAACGCAAUAAGUAGACCGCCUGGGGAGUACGGCCGCAAGGUUAAAACUCAAAUGAAUUGACGGGGGCCCGCACAAGCGGUGGAGCAUGUGGUUUAAUUCGAUGCAACGCGAAGAACCUUACCUGGUCUUGACAUACAUAGAAUCUUGUAGAGAUACGAGAGUGCCUUCGGGAAUUGUGAUACAGGUGCUGCAUGGCUGUCGUCAGCUCGUGUCGUGAGAUGUUGGGUUAAGUCCCGCAACGAGCGCAACCCUUGUCCUUAGUUACCAGCGGGUUAAGCCGGGAACUCUAAGGAUACUGCCAGUGACAAACUGGAGGAAGGCGGGGACGACGUCAAGUCAUCAUGGCCCUUACGACCAGGGCUACACACGUGCUACAAUGGUAGGUACAGAGGGCAGCUACACAGCGAUGUGAUGCGAAUCUCAAAAAGCCUAUCGUAGUCCAGAUUGGAGUCUGCAACUCGACUCCAUGAAGUAGGAAUCGCUAGUAAUCGCGGAUCAGAAUGCCGCGGUGAAUACGUUCACCGGGCCUUGUACACACCGCCCGUCACACCAUGGGAGUUGAUUGCACCAGAAGUGGAUAGCUUAAACUUCGGCGGCAGCGUCUCACAUCGUCUAGUUGUUAUGGCCC